rnacentral:rRNA from 1 species
AUUGAACGCUGGCGGCAUGCUUUACACAUGCAAGUCGAACGGCAGCGGGGGCUUCGGCCUGCCGGCGAGUGGCGAACGGGUGAGUAAUGCAUCGGAACGUACCCAUGUUGUGGGGGGAUAACGUAGCGAAAGCUACGCUAAUACCGCAUAAGCCCUGAGGGGGGAAAGCGGGGGGAUUCUUCGGAACCUCGCGCAAUUGGAGCGGCCGAUGUCAGAUUAGCUAGUUGGUAGGGUAAAGGCCUACCAAGGCGACGAUCUGUAGCGGGUCUGAGAGGAUGAUCCGCCACACUGGGACUGAGACACGGCCCAGACUCCUACGGGAGGCUG